UACGUAGGUGGCAAGCGUUAUCCGGAAUUACUGGGCGUAAAGCGCACGCAGGUGGUCUUUUAAGUUUGACGUGAAAGCUCCCGGCUUAACUGGGAGAGGUCGUUGAAGACUGGAAGACUUGAGGCAAUGAGAGGGGUGUAGAAUUCCCGGUGUAGUGGUGGAAUGCGUAGAUAUCGGGAGGAAUACCAGUGGCGAAAGCGGCACCCUAGCGUUAGCCUGACGCUCAUGUGCGAAAGCGUGGGGAGCAAACGGG
rnacentral:rRNA from 1 species